UCCGUAGGUGAACCUGGGGAAGGAUCAUUGUCGAAUCCUAGAAAGCACGACCGCGGACAGGUUGUUAAUCGGUGGGACUGUGUCGUGCUGCCUUCGGGCGGCUCGUCGCCCCCGCCCGGCGGGUCGGGGAACUUGUGCCCCAGCCUUCCGGAUCAAACGAACCCCGGCGCGGACAGCGCCAAGGAAUCAGAAACGGACGAGUUCUCCCCGCCGCCCUUCCUCGGGCGGCGAGGGAGGAAGGCCAAUCGGUACACUAACGACUCUCGGCAACGGAUAUCUCGGCUCUCGCAUCGAUGAAGAACGUAGCGAAAUGCGAUACUUGGUGUGAAUUGCAGAAUCCCGCGAACCAUCGAGUCUUUGAACGCAAGUUGCGCCCGAAGCCAUUAGGCCGAGGGCACGUCUGCCUGGGCGUCACGUAUUGUGUUUGCCCCCACCCGUCCGCGGGUGGGGAGCGGAGCCUGGCCUCCCGUGAGUUCCAACUCGCGGAUGGCUUAAAAUCGAGCCUCGAGGCGGCGACGACGUCGCGACAAGUGGUGGUCGGGAGGCCUGCGAGCCUCGGAGCUUUGCGAGUCGCCUCGGACGCGGUUCCUCGUUGCGCCCGAAAGUAACCCGAACGAGAGCGUUGCGACGCUGCCAGCAUCCGACCCCAGGUCAGGCGGGACUACCCGCUGAGUUAA
rnacentral:rRNA from 1 species